UACGGAAGGUGCAAGCGUUGUUCGGAUUGACUGGGCGUAAAGCGCACGUAGGCGGAUUUAUAAGUCGGAUGUGAAAGCCCCGGGCUUAACCUGGGAACUGCAUCCGAAACUAUUUAUCUUGAAUACCUCAGGGGUUGGUGGAAUUCCAAGUGUAGGAGUGAAAUCCGUAGAUAUUUGGAGGAACACCAGAGGCGAAGGCGGCCAACUGGGAGUGUAUUGACGCUGAGGUGCGAAAGCGUGGGGAGCAAACAGG
rnacentral:rRNA from 1 species